rnacentral:rRNA from 1 species
UACGGAGGAUGCGAGCGUUGUCCGGAAUUACUGGGUGUAAAGGGAGCGUAGGCGGGGAAACAAGUUGAAUGUGAAAUCCAUGGGCUCAACCCAUGGCUGCGUUCAAAACUGUACCUCUUGAGUGAAGUAGAGGCAGGCGGAAUUCCGAGUGUAGCGGUGAAAUGCGUAGAUAUUCGGAGGAACACCAGUGGCGAAGGCGGCCUGCUGGGCUUUUACUGACGCUGAUGCUCGAAAGCAUGGGUAGCAAA